rnacentral:rRNA from 1 species
CCCAGGCGCUAAUAGGUGAUAGCCGCCGGAGUACUACGAACGCAUGUUUAAAAUUCAAAGAACUUGGCGGUCGACUAACCUACCAGGGGAACAUGUGCCUUAAUUCGAUGAUCCACGAUGUACCUUACCUUGCCUUGUAAAGAGUCAGCCGCUAUACCGCCGUUGUUACUUUUCAGUCAAAGCGAAGCUUAGAGGGGGAGGAUGGUGGGAGAGGGAAAAUCCGAUCUCCCACCACGAAGGCAGGUUUAGGUAGCGCCCAAGGCGAGGGGAGUAUGUGUUACAACCCUGACUUUGGAUUACGGAGCGGAGAAGGGAAGGCUCUCUGUGAAGGUGAACUUGGCAGUAAAUCGAGAGUAAUGAGCUUGGUUGAAGAGAUGUAAA